ensembl:lncRNA LINC02004 long intergenic non-protein coding RNA 2004
GAACGCCGGCCCGCUCUGUGCCACCCUCUCCCCAAGCCCCCGGGAGGAGGCCUCGCCACCAUGCCCAGAGCAGCACAGUGAGUCAGAGAUGAAGCUCUUGUCCCACCUGCCCCAACCCUCGAGCCCUGCUUCCCAGGUCCGCAUUCCCAGGCAGCCUGCCACAGCCAGUGCCAGCGAGAGAGUGGAUCAGGCUUCAGGAUAGCCCAGCACUGAGGACAUCUAAAACAGUCUUCAUUUAUUUAUUUAUUGUUCAUAGUGUCCAAAAGUUGGAAUUAAAGUGAAUGGCUGAAUCAA